UACGUAGGGUGCGAGCGUUGUCCGGAAUUAUUGGGCGUAAAAGAGCUUGUAGGCGGUUUGUCGCGUCUGCCGUGAAAAUCCGGGGCUCAACCCCGGCCUGCGGUGGGUACGGGCAGACUAGAGUGUGGUAGGGGAGACUGGAAUUCCUGGUGUAGCGGUGAAAUGCGCAGAUAUCAGGAGGAACACCGGUGGCGAAGGCGGCAUCCUGGACCAACACUGACGCUGAGGAGCGAAAGCCAGGGGAGCAAACGGG
rnacentral:rRNA from 1 species